rnacentral:rRNA from 1 species
ACUGAAUAGAUACCCCUGGUAGUCCUGGCCCUAAACGAUGUCUACUAGAUCGUGGCGGCACUGACGCCGUCAUGGUCGAAGCAAAAGUGUUAAGUAGACCGCCUGGGAAGUACGGUCGCAAGGCUAAAAACUCAAAGAAACUGACGGGGGCUCACACAAGCGGUGGAGCAUGUGGUUCAAUUCGAAGCAACGCGAAGAACCUUACCUGGGCUUGACAUGCUAGGAUUAUCUCCAUGAAAGUGGAGUACGCGGCGCAAGCCGUGGAACUAGUACAGGUGCUGCAUGGCGGUCGUCAGCUCGUGUCGUGAGAUUGUUCGGGUUUAAGUCCCUUAACGAGCGAAACCCUUUUGCCCUUAGUUGCCAUCAGGUUAUGCUGGGCACUCUAAGGGGGACUGCCGGUGUCAAACCGGAGGAAGGUGGAGAUGACGUCAAGUCCUCAUGGCCUUUAUGCCCAGGGCCACACACGUGCUACAACUGGCGUCCCACAAAGCGAACCGAGAGCGCAAGCUGG